UAACCCAAAAUCUUAUUGUAGUUAAUAAUAAUUAUCAUUGGCCUAAAGUUAAAUUAAGUUACUAAUUUAAUUAAAACCCAGUUGUUGUAACAUUCUAGCUAAAUAGAUAUUAGUGGCAAGUGCUCUUUUUACUUUUUACUACCAAUUAAAAAAUUUAGUUACAAAUUAUUUAUACUAUAGUAAUUAUUUAACAAAAGAGAGGGUAAUUUAGGUAAUUGGGAUGAACAUGUUAUAAUGGAUAAACAUAACCCAAAUCAGGAUAUUAUUUCUUUUUCAUUCAAUUUCUCUCUAUUUUCUCAGGAACUCUCCCGAACCCACACUCUCUCCAUAUCAUGAUUUCAAAAUCUUUCCAAUUCCUCUCUAACACUAAGUACAUGUAAUAUAUUCAUGGAGAAUAAGCUUCUUCCAAUGAGUUAGAGAGUCCAUUGAAAGGAAUUAAAGGCUAAAGCUUCAAGAUUUGGGUUAGUGAAAGGAAAGAGGGUUUGAAACCCACAAGAUUUAAAGAGGUCCAUCGCCAUCUUCAUCUUCAUCUUCAAAUAACUAAGGAACUCUCCCGAACCCACACUCUCUCCAUAUCAUGAUUUCAAAAUCUUUCCAAUUCCUCUCUAACACUAAGUACAUGUAAUAUAUUCAUGGAGAAUAAGCUUCUUCCAAUGAGUUAGAGAGUCCAUUGAAAGGAAUUAAAGGCUAAAGCUUCAAGAUUUGGGUUAGUGAAAGGAAAGAGGGUUUGAAACCCACAAGAUUUAAAGAGGUCCAUCGCCAUCUUCAUCUUCAUCUUCAAAUAACUAAGGUGAAUUCUUUUAUUAGGCUUUAAUUUUGGUAGAAACUAGAAUUUUAAAGUAAACCUAAGUAUGAGAAGUGGCAUGUGUUGGAAUGUUAAGAAAUUCUACCCCAACUAUUGAUAAAUUAUGAUUGGAGACUUCAAUGUAGAAAUUAGAGUAUGUUAGAUUCAUAUUCUGUUAUGAUUUAAUUACAAUCUAGCUGAGAUUCUAGAAUAUUCAAUAUUGGAAUGGUUUUGGGACUGUUUUGGAACUAUUGGCACUCUUUUAAAACUAAUAGACUUUAUUGUAAGAAUUAAAGUAUGUUAGAAUCAUGUUUUAUCAUGAUAGAAUAUGAACUAGUUAGAAUCUCAUGUUAAUAUUUCAUUGGGGACUGUUAUAACACAUUAAAGAGUAGUUAGAUUGUAGUAAAAUAGUUUGAAUGGACUGUUUAAACACUUUGGUAACUUUGCUACGAGUAUAACAGCUCUUUUAGACGUUAAUUGUCACUAACAGAGGUGAUCAUCCCUAUGGUUUUGUCUCAACUUGUAUUCUUAUGAGCUUAGGUGAUGUAGACAUGAAAUUAUGCUAGUUUAUACUCUUUUGUUUAGUAUUAUGUGUACUCAUAUUUUGAAUUAAUAGGAAUUGCCAAGUAACUAACCAUAGUUUGGUUUAGUGGUAUUAAUGAUGCUUAGAGGCUUUAUUUUAGCCGAGCAUAGUUUCCUUUUAAUUUAUAGUUAAAGGAAAGAUAAGAAUGAACCGGUGUGGCUAGAAAAGAAUGACAUAUUGUGAAUAUAAAUACGUUGAGAUCAAUAAUCUAUCGAUCUAGAUAGUAUUUCAAUGAAGCAUAUGCAUGUGAAAUGAAAUGACUCGGAACACGGUUGAAGUGAUAUACUUUAUGUGAAGAAGAUUGCUAUUGUUUGGAUUUAUAGGACACAUUAGGAAAUUGAUUUCGAUAUGGUGCCACUUAUACAUUAUUUACAAGUGUGUUAGGAUUUUUCAUGUUAAAUAUGAUAAGUUAAAUAAGAAUAGAUUCACAUUGAGUAAAGUACCGGUAAAUUAUAUUUUAAUGUUUUAUUAGAAAUAUAAAGGUACCGUUCGCCACCACGAAGAGAUAAGGUGGUAUAGCCGUUCGCCACUACGAAGAGAUAAGGUGGUAUCCGUUCGCCACAACGAAGAGAUAAUGUGGUUAGUACCGUUCACCACAACGAAGAGAUAAUGUGGUAUAUCCGUUCGCCACCACGAAGAGAUAAGGUGGUAUAGCCGUUCGCCACAACGAAGAGAUAAUGUGGUAUAUCCGUUCGCCACCACGAAGAGAUAAGGUGGUAUAGCCGUUCGCCACAACGAAGAGAUAAUGUGGUAUAUCCGUUCACCACUACGAAGAGAUAAGGUGGUAUCCGUUCGCCACAACGAAGAGAUAAUGUGGUUAGUACCGUUCACCACAACGAAGAGACAAUGUGGUUUAUGUCAACAUAGUGGGAAAAGAUAAGUGAUAUUAGAUAUGACAAGCUUAUUAUUAGUUUUAAGUGUAGGUGUGCGUGUAGAACUUCGUAUAUGAUUAACAAGUGGUUCCUGUUAAAGAUUUUAUCAAAUAUUGUUUCCCUUGAUGUUGUAAAAUAGUAUUUUUGGUAUAAGUUUUCAAAGUACGACCGUUUUAGUGUGCAUAAUGAAAUGAAAUAGCUUUAUAUAUUUUUGCUGAUAGUUAACCAACACUUAGAGAACUACGUGGCUCUGAUUCCCUAAUUGUUUAGGGAUACGUAGGACCAGGGACCCUCCCUGUCGAGCUAUAAUUUCAGUAACUGUAUAUUUUAAA